CUCAGAGCCAUAUCUCCCUACAGCUCUCGCCUAGCGUCCCACUGAAGCUAAGCAGGGUUGAGCCUGGACAGUCUCCUCUAUGGGAGACCUCCUGGAGAAAACUAAGGUUGCUGCUGUAA
rnacentral:rRNA from 1 species